GGUGUUAUUGACAUAGAAAAUGAUAAUAGAACCUGGUCACAAAUUAGAGAUGGUUGGGCUGGGCAUAUGUUUGCCAAUAGGGGUAAUUCUCAUGUUUAGAGCUCAAGUGUUGGGCUGGGCAUAUGUUUGCCAUUAGUGAUGUAAUAUGCAUUCUAAGAUGUACUAUGUAUUAUGUAUUCUUUUAUGUCACUAUUUUAAUUCCACUUUAAUUCUUUUAGGUUUCAGCUCCAUUUUAAUUCUUUUAUGUCACUAUUUCAGCUCCAUUUUAAUUCUUUUAUGUCACUAUUUCAGCUCCAUUUUAAAUCUUUUAUGUCACUAUUUCAGCUCCAUUUUAAAUACUUUAUAUACUCUUACGUAAUCAGAUUCCUUUGUUUGCUUUGUACAUAGAAGUGAUGGCUGAGAUGGGGGCUGAUGGUGGGCAUGGUGGUGGGAAUCACCCAUUGCGUUGGACAUCUCCAAUGUCUGGUUUCAUGUUACGUCGAUUUGUAGAGCUCAUUGCUAGUGGAGUGA
rnacentral:lncRNA from 1 species